AAUAGGGUCGAAAUUUUCGGACUACAAUGAUGAGGGCAAAGAUGAGCUUCUCUAGCAUGGUAUACCUGAUCUCUGCAUCGUGGAGAAUUUUACUGAUAUAAUAGAUUGGCUUCUGAAUCUUGUCAGAUUUUCAAACCAGUACGGCACUUAUGGCAACUGGAGAGAUCGCCAGGUACAAAUAAAGUUCUUCAUCAAGCUUUGACCUGUUGAGGAGUGGUGGAGAGCUGAGAACUUGGAAGAAAGAAAGGUAAUGCUCGAUUGAUUUGGAGAUGAAUCGAUUCAAUGCUGCCACUCAGUCGAAAAUUGAAAGUUCAUGCUAAUCAGGAUCCAAAUUGAUACAGAACCAAAGCAAAACUCAAGUACUAAGAGGCUAAGAGCAACCACCUGAACGGCUAAGCAAAUAAGGAAAUAAAUUCAAGGGCUUAAAAGUGAUGCUCCACUCAACGAUUGAGAUUCAUGGCACCACUUCAGAAAACUCUAGAGAUAUGAGGCGGCACACUAAGAUCUAAGGGAUAGGAAGCAAUUUCUUUUAAAUCAAUGGCCACCAUUCAUGCACCAUAAGAGGAGUCCACUUCACAAAACCCUAGUGCCCUCAUAUUUUAGCAUGCCUCUCACUUUUCAUGCCCCAACUCUAGCACACCUCCUUUUCUUCUGCACCAUCCCGUGCCCCCCUUUCUCUCCUAAAAUGUCCCUUGCUUCCAUAUCAAAUCUCAACCCUCCAUCACUUAGGCGACUCCCAUAUCCCCAUAAAAACCCGAGCCACCCUCAUCUCCAUGCCCAAGCCCUAGGAGCUACUGCCCUAGACUCUCAUCCCUCUCUCUCCAAUCUUAUAUCCUUCUUUCAUCUAUCCAUAGCCUCUACUUCAAUGUUUUAACAAGAAGGAAGAUGGAGGGAAUAAUGGCAAGCAAAAUCAACAUCAUACGCGGCUAGAGGUCUAGUCUUCAAGGGAGCAAAUGAAGUUUUUAAUUUACAGUCUUAUAUUUUUAUCUUGAAUAUGUUUAUGUAUUUAUCUUCAAUGCAAUUAGUGAU